rnacentral:rRNA from 1 species
CCUACGGGAGACAGCAGUGGGGGAUAUUGCACAAUGGGGGAAACCCUGAUGCAGCGACGCCGCGUGUGGGAAGACGGUCCUCUGGAUUGUAAACCACUGUCCCCAGGGACGAAGAUGACGGUACCUGGGGAGGAAGCUCCGGCUAACUACGUGCCAGCAGCCGCGGUAAUACGUAGGGAGCGAGCGUUGUCCGGAAUUACUGGGUGUAACGGGAGCGUAGGCGGGACUGCAAGUUGGGUGUCAAAUCUACCGGCUCAACCGGUAGCCGCACUCAAAACUGCAGUUCUUGAGUGAAGUAGAGGCAGGCGGAAUGCCUAGUGUAGCGGUGAAAUGCGUAGAUAUUAGGAGGAACACCAGUGGCGAAGGCGGCCUGCUGGGCUUUUACUGACGCUGAGGCUCGAAAGUGUGGGGAGCAAACAGGAUUAGAUACCCUUGUAGUC